AGUGAACGCUGGCGGCAGGCCUAACACAUGCAAGUCGAACGGCAGCACAGUAAGAGCUUGCUCUUACGGGUGGCGAGUGGCGGACGGGUGAGGAAUACAUCGGAAUCUACUUUUUCGUGGGGGAUAACGUAGGGAAACUUACGCUAAUACCGCAUACGACCUACGGGUGAAAGCAGGGGAUCUUCGGACCUUGCGCGAUUGAAUGAGCCGAUGUCGGAUUAGCUAGUUGGCGGGGUAAAGGCCCACCAAGGCGACGAUCCGUAGCUGGUCUGAGAGGAUGAUCAGCCACACUGGAACUGAGACACGGUCCAGACUCCUACGGGAGGCAGCAGUGGGGAAUAUUGGACAAUGGGCGCAAGCCUGAUCCAGCCAUACCGCGUGGGCGAAGAAGGCCUUCGGGUUGUAAAGCCCUUUUGUUGGGAAAGAAAAGCAGCAGGUUAAUACCCCGCUGUUCUGACGGUACCCAAAGAAUAAGCACCGGCUAACUUCGUG
rnacentral:rRNA from 1 species